CACUGUCUUUCUAAGCAGGAGGGGAGCAUGCCCAUUACUGCCAUACACCAACUCAAGUCUUUGGUGGCUGUGAAUGGAUCUUUGCAGAGGUAUUAAAAUAACCGUGGUGUUCACAGAUACUAUUUAAAGGAGAAACUCCUUCCAGGAACUUUGCAUGUUUUCAGAGCUGU